CAUCUCCUGCUCUAUUGUCAAUCAUCUUCAAGUCUCUUUGGGGUUCAAGUUGGCAAGCUUCCAGUAAGGUGGUUAAAGCCAUUGACAGAAAUGUAAUGCUUUUUUGUGGAAAGAUAAAGGGUAGCAAUAUUUGGAGCUUGAAAUUUCCUACAAAUUUUUCUUGGAAGUGGAGAAAACUUCUCAAGCUAAGAAGCGUUGCUUGGGUAUUGAAUCUAUUGAUUGAGGUGGUUAAUGGUAAUGGCAAAAAUACUCACUUGUGGUGGGACUGCUGGCUGUCUAAUGGCCCUUUAAUUAAGACACACGGCUCCAGAAUUGCUAUAAGUCUGGGCUCUCUGCUGAUGCUUAAGUAGCUGAUGCUAUCCGUCAUAGUGCUUGGUGUUGGCCUAAUGCAAGGCCAGAGGAUAUGGAUGAGGUCCAGUGCGCUUACAGUUUAAUAGUUCCUUCUGAAGCUGAGGAUCAGUUUAUUUGGAGGUUCACCCCAGAUGGGGUUUGCUUUUCCAGUAGCACCACGGAGUUCUCGUGGGAAAAGGGUAUUAAAAUUCAGUGGCGUAAACUAGUUUGGAGACCCCUUCUAUUCUAGCAUCCAGCAAAAUUUAGCAUCAUUCAAGCAGAGAAUUUUAUUUAUAGAUAAACGAAUCCAAGAGCUAGAGACAGAAAAGAAAGUUGCUGCUGAAGCGAGAAACUUCAAGGAAGCUGUACGAAUAGCUGCUGAGACAAAGUCAUUGAGUGUUGAAAUUGUUUGCAGAUUGACUUGGAAAAGGCCACAUUAGAGCUUCAAAAGCUUGAGGAAGAUAUUAAAGACACUGUUAACAGAUUGCAAACUACCGAGGGACUGAUACUAUCCAAGGAAAAGGAGGCUGCAAUGACUAGAUUCCGAAGGCUGCUUUUAAUUGCUGGUGCUGCCACAGCUGAAAGAUUUGCUGCUUUAGAGCCGGGGGGACAUUGAAGAAACUAACCUCCUACUUGCAGAGGCUGAGGCAGCUAAUGAAGCAAAAAAACAUCAACUUGUAUGCAUUUUUAAAGAGGAAGGCUUUUCAAUAACCAAACAUUUCAUCUCCAUGGAACUCGUAUCAAUCUUGGCAGGAAGCAGCUAGCACAAUUGGCAGCACUCCUUCAUUUCCAGAAUCACGAUGACUAGAACCAGAGUGAAGUAUUUGAAGAUGACCAAACCAAGAGUUAUUGGAGAACCAAUUAAAAAAAAACUAAAACUGCUCAGUGAAUUACUGUAGAUUAUGUUUAAAAUCACUUUGAAUUACUGUUUAAAUUUUUAAUUCGUUCUCACGAUAAGUUUUGGCCAGUUUUUUUUGCUGUUUUUUCAUUUGUUUUGUUGGGUAUGUGGCAGCCUCGCUAACAUAUAUCUUCCUAUCUUUUUUUGAUAGGUUACAUCUUUCCCAUCUCUAUCUUUUUUCUGGCUCAAUCGCACCAGAGAACGCCUCACAAACAAGCCAAAGAACACGUUCACAAUUCCAGAUCCACCUUGCAAACACCACCAUGCAGCCAUUCCAUCUCCCUACCCAGAACUAUCAAUGUUUUGUUUUGCUUCUCGGUGGUCUUCUAGUGCGAUAUGAUGCUGCCUAGUGAUCUGCAUAAGUGUUCCUUUGUUGGCGCAGGGUGAGGGUUUCUUUGUUGUGCAGCUCAAUUGUGGGUGUUUUGGUGGGUCUGUGUGCGGCUUCAACAUCUUUGUGCACCGAUGGUUCUUCCCAUGAGAAAGAGUGUCUGCAUAAGUUGAGCUGGUUGAAGAAGUAAUUAAUAUCUUUUAUUGUUGAAGAAGGAAUUAAUAUCUCUUAUGGUAUGUAAAAAUCCUUUUUUUAUUAUUUUUUGCCUGUAAAAAAUUAUAAACCUUUUUAUUUUAAUAUUUAAUUGGAUAAUUUGUCUUGAUUUUAUAGAUAUAUUUAGAAUUGUUGCACUAUAUAAUGGAUUGUUGCAUUGUGUUUUUGGUUAUAGAAAUGGUUAUAUUGGAAAGGAAUCCCUUUUAGGGGGAUUUAAAAAGGUUUGUGGUGUACUUACAAUUAUAAAAUUAUAAAAUCAAGUUUUUGUUUUUACCGUGUCAAAUUAUGAUGGCCUGGACUUAUCUCAUGAUAUUAUAUAGAAGCUAAAAGCAUUACAGGAGGCCAGUUGAGAGAGUGAUUAGUCUAUUGACAAAGAUACUCUAAUAUAAUUAGAGAGUGGUGCUUCAAUAAGACUUUUUUAGUGUUAACAAGGCUCCAUUGGAGAAAGUUAUAAUAUUUUCUCAAUUUCUUUAGCAUAUAUAUGUGAUUGAACAAGUAGUUAUUAAUUGUAUUAUGAGUUUUUAAUAAGUGUAGCUUUAUCUUUCCUCAGGUGUAAUGAUCCUGGAUUUCUUUUCUUUGGCCAAUUAGCAUUUGCUGGUAUCAAAUUUAUUCAAAAGCAUAAUCAUUGAAGUUAGUUAUUCUUUAUUUCAUUCAUAUAUUUCUUCUGUUAUUCCCUUUGCUUUUACGUGAUACAUUAUUGGGCUAAUCAUGUGAAAUCACUGGUCACCUUCCAGCAUGAUGCUUCACGUAUGACUUUAUUAAUGGAUGGCAAUGUUGCUUGGGUCUUGAUUUGAGCUUUUAACUCAUGUAAUCUUAAUGAAGCAAAUUUGGGAUAAAAUGAUCAUUGAUCAUCCAACCUUUUCAGUGUUUUGGUAGUGUCGUGUGUAACUAUACACUGUUUCUUAAUAAACACUUUUGUUAUGAUCUUACCUUUCUCUGUUGCAGAAUAGUUUGCAAUUUUUUUUUUCACACAAUGGAGGUUUUAGAGUUUUGAGUUUUUGGAUGGACUGUUGCAAAAGCUGUUUUCUUCUAUCAAUCUUUUGUGUGCCAACUUCUCAAAUCUUAAGGAAGCUGUAGGGUUUCUUUCUCGCAUCGCAAAUGACAAUUUUGGGCUUUGUUGGUCAAAUGAUAGAUAAUGAAGUUUCAUUCUAUGCUUGCUUUUA